rnacentral:rRNA from 1 species
GAGACUCUGUGCGCGUGCAUAUCAAUAAGCGGAGGAAAAGAAACUAACAAGGAUUCCCCUAGUAACGGCGAGUGAAGCGGGAAGAGCUCAAAUUUGAAAUCUUAAAGGUUUUCCCUUGACGAAUUGUAGUUUAAAGAAGUGUUUUCUGUUGGAGUUUCGGUAAAAGUUCUUUGGAAUAGGACAUCAUAGAGGGUGAGAAUCCCGUAUUUGACCAUUACUUUCCAGCUGUGUGAUACACUUUCAAAGAGUCGGAUUGUUUGGGAAUGCAGUCCAAAAUGGGUGGUAAAUUUCAUCUAAAGCUAAAUACUGGCGAGAGACCGAUAGCGAACAAGUACCGUGAGGGAAAGAUGAAAAGAACUUUGAAAAGAGAGUUAAACAGUACGUGAAAUUGUCAAAAGGGAAGCGUUUGACACCAGUGUUGUUUUUCGAAAAUCAAUUAAGAUGCAUGAUUUUGUGUUAAAGUAUUGACUUUAUCAGGCUUUCUGCACUUUUUCUAUGUAACUUUUUAAUGCACUUUUCGGUUAACAAGUCAACAUCAAUUUCUUUUGUUGUAAAAGGGUCAUUGAGGAAGGUGGCUUUCUUUUCGGAGAAAGUGUUUAUAGCCUUUGGCCUCUGACAAUCGGAGAGAUUGAGGUCUGCAGCGUAGAUCCUUCGGGGUUAGAUACAUUUGUGCUAAGUUAUAGCCUUUCAUAGACAACUUGCUGACUAUGAUCAGUCAUGUAGCUUACUCGCUUAUGUGCUAUUUUACCUACGCUUAGGAUGUUGAAGAUGUAGCACAUCAU